GCUGCUCCCUGCCUGGGGCCUAGCCCGAUGUAAAAGCCCAUUGGCUGGAAUUGCUUAAAUGUCCCACACAAAUAUAAACACCUCCACAGUGUUGAGAAGAUGAAAGGAACAGCUUAUUGAUAUUGUAUAUGCUAACGUUUGGAUGUGGGACAGGAAAGACAGCAUUCAACUGCUGGUAUGCAAUGCUGAAGCUGGGCUGCAUGAAGAGGUUUUCAUUUACUGAUGUUGGAUGUGUGCCCAGAUUGCCAUAGUAGAAUUUAGGAAGAAACACAGUAAGGAGAAGAACCACAGAAUGGUUUUGGGGAACAUCUACGUGGGUAGAAGAACAAAUACAUCUGAAGACUGUGUUUCCAGAAAGGGAAGGACUAACCACUGGGGAACAGUUAUGAGCCCCCCAGAUCCCAACUGGUCGUCUACUUGAAGAAUGCAAGCCCCUUAAGAGCAAAGAUAGGUGUUCUGUCUUUGAUGUAGAAUAUCAGCAAUGACAAGAUUUUGAUCUCCUUGAAGCUGAUGUAUUUCAUCCUCCCCCUCCAUGCCUGGUCCAUUGGCCGGCACAUAGUAAGUGCUCAGUAAAUGUUUGAUGAAUACAAAGUAGUCUAUGGCAAUGGCCACAAGAUCAUCACAAUCAAAACACUGAAGACACUCACCUUCAUCUCUUGCCACGAAAGCUGGAGAGGUCCAGAAAUACUACUCCUGAUUUGCAUUAUCAGGGAACAUUUUAUGAAAAACAUGGCACUGGAGGAGAUUCUUAAAUGACUGAGUAAGGUACUCAAUCUCACUGAGUCUCAGCUUCUUUAAUCAGCCUUUUUUAGCCCUCUCUCCUCAUUGUAAAAUUCAGGAAACAUGCAUUUCUUUACUGAGUAUGCGCCUCCUCAGAUUUACAGAAAUAACCCAAGCACUGAUUCUGAAGAGGAAAUUCACUCCCAGUGCACAUGUCCUGGGAAAUGGAGAGCUGUAUGACAGAGAUACACAUCAUGCAUCCAAAGAUAACUUCGUAAUAUGGUUUCUGGGUUGUUAACAUUGGAGGAGACCAUCGCCUUUUAGAGGAAAGUUACAGUAAAUGUCACCAUAUGAAUAAACAUUAUUGUGACAUGCUUAAGCCUGGUUUUACUUGUUAUGAUUAUGUUGCCUGACUCUUACCACCAGAAGUGCCUCCCUCAUAUUUUCCUUCACGCUAACAUUUACGAUGAAGGGGCAGCAUUAACUUUUGUUCACAUGGGCCAAAAUGAGCCCCAUUACACCCAGCAGUAUUUCAACAGUCACAGACCAGUGAGAGACCAGCGUAAACCCAGCUUGCUCCGGACCUCAGCACGUUCCACCAGCUUCACCCCAGCCAACAGAACUGCCACUUGAAAUCCAUCUGCAACAUUUCAUGGACCUCAAUUCUGAUGCAGCGGGUAGUUGUUGAGCUCUAGCUGAGCAGAAAGGACCAGAGGUUCUAAAGGGAAACAUUCUUCACUGCUGCUGCACAUUCCCAAAGACAUGAAACACCUAAGACAGCACCGUGAGGCACAUUUUUCAGUGCAGAAGCAGCAGAAAACAGAACAUGACUCCCCACCCCUUUUUUAUAUUCCAAUGAGAUUUGCUAGUUUAACCAGGGCUGCAGUACAAAAGCACUUGUGGUUCAUGUUAUAUUAAUAGUGUGGCCUGAUUAUCAAAAACCAUUACUCUUGGUUAUCUAGCAGCGGCUGUACCGAGCUGCUAUAAGUCAGAGUGACUACCCACACAGCGUUUGCUCCCUGCUUAUGAUAACAGUAUUCUUAACGCAGAAGUGCACUUGUAAAAUUAUUGCCUUUUAAAGAUCAGAUUUGUUAUAAAUGAGAUAUGAUCACACAAUUGCUCUUCCCUGUAUAAAAAAAAUUAAAUACAUAAAUUACACGUCAGUAUCCUCCAUUGUCAUGGCUUCACAAGGGUCAGUUUCCUUGUGGUCAAACUCGGAGGUAUAGCUUUCAAAGCAGAUGCGUUGCCGGCUGAAUCCUGGCCAGAGGCACAAGCAGUGGCUUUUCUUCUCCUGUUCUUUGAUGUUGUCUUCUGUAGUACUGAUUGCAGGCCCUGUGGAUCCAACCCUUUUCUAUGCUGGUUGAGGGGUGCUUUGCUUAGUUUAGUUCAGCUUGUUAAAAGCAGUAAUGAUAAUGGAUCGGAAGCCAUACCAUUUCCUCAUAGAUUCAAGUCAUUGUUUCCGACUCUUUGCAGAACUCCAUGUGGCUCAGAGUGGUUGCAUUCACAGCUCCUUCUUGCUAAUGCCACUGGUUGACUUUUUAAUUCCGCCCCCCCCCCCGCCCCCCCUGAUUAUUGUGACACUUUCACAGGCUCAGAGUUUGUAUGGAAGAAGAGACAAAGACAGGAAGGAAAGCAACUCUAAUAAAGUAAAAGAACUCAGUUUUAAUGCUCACUAAUCUCCUUCUCUAGGUUAUAUGUUUCAUUAUACAUGUUACCCCAACCGGGAAUAAGAGGGAUAUGGCUUUACUUGUGAAAACGCAAGGGACUCUUACUGUGCAUCUUUCAAAUCUCCCAAGUUCCCUUGUAAACAAACAUAUUAGGGGUAAAUAUACAGGACUCUCUCUCCCCUUAUGCUUUUCCUGUUUGAACAGCAUUUUA